AUUGAACGCUGGCGGCAGGCUUAACACAUGCAAGUCGAGCGAGCGGCGGACGGGUGAGUAAUGUUUGGGAAUCUGGCUGAUGGAGGGGGGUAACUACUGGAAACGGUAGCUAAUACCGCAUACCAUCGGAUGUGCCCAGAUGGGAUUAGGUAGUAGGUGGGGUAAUGGCUCACCUAGCCGACGAUCCCUAGCUGGUCUGAGAGGAUGACCAGCCACACUGGGACUGAGACACGGUCCAGACUCCUACGGGAGGCAGCAGUGGGGAAUAUUGCACAAUGGGGGCAAGCCUGAUGCAGCCAUGCCGCGUGGGUGAAGAAGGCCUUCGGGUUGUAAAGCACUUUCAGCGAGGAGGCGUUACCCGCAGAAGAAGCACCGGCUAACUCCGUGCCAGCAGCCGCGGUAAUAC
rnacentral:rRNA from 1 species